rnacentral:rRNA from 1 species
GUGAGGAAUAUUGGACAAUGGAUGGAAAUCUGAUCCAGCCAUGCCGCGUGCAGGAAGACGGCCCUAUGGGUUGUAAACUGCUUUUAUACGGGAGCAAUAAGGUCUAUGCAUAGAUUGAUGAGAGUACCGUAUGAAUAAGCAUCGGCUAACUCCGUGCCAGCAGCCGCGGUAAUACGGAGGAUGCGAGCGUUAUCCGGAUUUAUUGGGUUUAAAGGGUGCGUAGGCGGCUUUGUAAGUCAGCGGUGAAAUUUUGCAGCUUAACUGUAAAAGCGCCGUUGAUACUGUGAAGCUAGGAUUUGGUUGCUGUGGGCGGAAUGUGUGGUGUAGCGGUGAAAUGCAUAGAGAUCACACAGAAUAUCGAUUGCGAAGGCAGCUCACAAAGCCAAUAUUGACGCUGAGGCACGAAAGUGUGGGGAUCAAACAGGAUUAGAUACCCUAGUAGUCC